UACGGAGGGUGCGAGCGUUGUCCGGAAUCAUUGGGCGUAAAGGGCGCGUAGGCGGCUUGCCGAGUCAGGGGUGAAAUCUUUCGGCUUAACCGGAAAAGUGCUUCUGAUACUGGCAGGCUGGAGGGAGGUAGGGGCAGACGGAACUUCCGGUGGAGCGGUGAAAUGCGUAGAUAUCGGAAGGAACGCCGGUGGCGAAAGCGGUCUGCUGGACCUCUGCUGACGCUGAGGCGCGAAAGCCAGGGGAGCAAACGGG
rnacentral:rRNA from 1 species